rnacentral:rRNA from 1 species
UACGAAGGGGGCUAGCGUUGUUCGGAAUUACUGGGCGUAAAGCGCACGUAGGCGGAUUUGUAAGUUAGGGGUGAAAUCCCGGGGCUCAACCUCGGAACUGCCUUUGAUACUGCAAGUCUCGAGUCCGAUAGAGGUGAGUGGAAUUCCUAGUGUAGAGGUGAAAUUCGUAGAUAUUCGGAAGAACACCAGUGGCGAAGGCGAAACACUGGCCCAUUACUGACGCUGAGGCUCGAAAGCGUGGGGAGCAAACAGG